AGUGAACGCUGGCGGUAGGCCUAACACAUGCCAGUCGAACGGCAGCACAGUAAGAGCUUGCUCUUACGGGUGGCGAGUGGCGGACGGGUGAGGAAUACAUCGGAAUCUACUUUUUCGUGGGGGAUAACGUAGGGAAACUUACGCUAAUACCGCAUACGACCUACGGGUGAAAGCAGGGGAUCUUCGGACCUUGCGCGAUUGAAUGAGCCGAUGUCGGAUUAGCUAGUUGGCGGGGUAAAGGCCCACCAAGGCGACGAUCCGUAGCUGGUCUGAGAGGAUGAUCAGCCACACGGGAACUGAGACACGGUCCAGACUCCUACGGGAGGCAGAAGUGGGGAAUAUUGGACAAUGGGCGAAAGCCUGAUCCAGCCAUACCGCGUGGGUGAAGAAGGCCUUCGGGUUGUAAAGCCCUUUUGUUGGGAAAGAAAAGCAGCAGGUUAAUACCCCGCUGUUCUGACGGUACCCAAAGAAUAAGCACCGGCUAACUUCGU
rnacentral:rRNA from 1 species